GAAACAUAGUGAGACUCUGCCUCAAAAAAAAAAAAAAAGUCCAGUGGCAGUGGUGCUUCCCUGAAUCUCGAAAUGCUGGCUAAAAGAUCACUGAAAUUGGAUGGUCUGGUAGAAGAAAAUUCAUUUGAUUCUUAAAAAAUCACAAGGAAACAAAGUAUUAUACCUUACUCUCCAACAACUGGAACUUGUCAAAUGAGCCCAUUUGCUUCUCCCAGAAGUUCUGAAGAACAAGAGCACAGAAAUGGACCAUCAAAUGGAAAGAGAAAAAAAUGUAAUCCUCUCAGUUUAACUGAAAGAAAGGAAUCUUCAAUGGAAGACAAUGAUGAAUUCAUGAUGUUGCUAUCUAAAGUUGAGAAAUCAUCAGAAGAAAUCAUGGAGAUAAUGCAAAAUUUAAUUAGUAUACAGGCUUUGGAGAGCAGUAGAGUGCUUGAAAAUCUCAUUGGUAUCUCCGGUACAUCAUGUUUCUUAAAAAGAGAAAUGCAGAAAACCAAAGAACUGAUGACAAAAGUAAUAAAACAAAAACUAUUUGAAAAGAAGAGUUCAGGACUUCUUCACAAAGAAUGUCAUCCUGACAGCUAUGAAUUCCUUAAAUCCCUUUUAAACUGAGGCAUUUAGAAGAAAUGCACUCACUAUGAGCAGCAGCCUCUGCAUCUGCCUGAUCAUAUUUAAAGGAAGAGAGAAAUAUUUGUAAUUAAUCUGCCCAGUAAAUACCAGCUCAUAGCACUAGGCAGGUGCGUGUCUAGAUAAAAUUUCUUGCAGCUAAUUUAAACUAUCUACACACACCAGUAGAUAAUCUCAAUGUAAAUAAUACAUUUCUUCUUGACCCGUAUUUUGUAUCACAUACAUUUCUGUAUACUUUUAUCAUUUGUGGAUAGACUUAAUAAAGCACAUAUGAAAAUGGAAAAAAAAAAACCCUCAUGUUAACAGUGUUAACACUACAGAAUUAUUCUCUCUAGAUCAGUGAUCCUCAGGCAGUGAUUUGGAGGGGAUAAAGGAGCACUUCAGUGUUAGAGCUACUGCCCACACCCCCAUUUCCUGAACAUAUCUGCCACAACCACUGGUGUGAUGAGCCCCAAGUGUCAGAGGAAGUCUUUCAUAUCCUCAAGGUACAACUGAAGAAAACCACUCUUCUAGCUACUUAUCUUUACAAACACUUCUAACUGGUAAGGAAAAAAGUAUUUAAGAGAAACAUAAUAUUUAAUAGUAAUUUAUAAUAAACAUGAAAUAUUUUAAGAGACUGUUUCUCAUUUGUUUUGCCCAAAAUCAGCCAAUACAUUCAUUCAUCAUGGAAAUGUACUUUGUCGACAAAGAAAAACACUCUAUUCAUAUAAGAAUAAAAAUAUGGGUUUUUUUCUCUAGUAACUGACAGAUUUUCAGUGGUAUACGCAAACCCUAAACACCUAUAAUCACGGACUACAAUGUAUUAUAUAUAAAGGUAUACAGUGUGAAGCCUUGAAGGGAGUGAAAUUAUUCAACCUAUACAAGAGGAUGUUGGCAUGCUGGCACCAUACCCUACGGGGUGGAAGGGAAGCAAAAACUUGAAUGCAAUCAAUUUGAUACUGUUUAAGUUCCUACUAACAAGUAACCCUAAAGAGAAAACCUAUAUUUAGCCCACUAAAAUCAAACAAGGGGAAGCAUGAAGUAGGAAGGCAGGCAAUUUCAUAUGAAUGAGCCAUACCAAUCAGAAGAAAAAGUAAAAUCACCUUAUGAUAAACACAUUUAUAAACCCUAGUAUAUGAUUGUUUACAAAACUUUAUGGGGGGGGGUGUGUACAUCAUAAUCUAAAUGUCCAACUACAAGGGAACUGUUAUGUAAAAGAAUAAUAUAUAUCCAUCCUCAUUAGCAUAGUGGUUAGUAAUAUAUCCAAAAAAGAAAAAAGAGGCUGGACGUAGUGGCGCCUGCCCAUAAUCCCAGCACUUUGGGAGACUGAGGC